AAUGAACGCUGGCGGCAUGCCUAACACAUGCAAGUCGAACGAGACCUUCGGGUCUAGUGGCGCACGGGUGCGUAACGCGUGGGAAUCUGCCCUUGGGUUCGGAAUAACUCGCCGAAAGGCGUGCUAAUACCGGAUGAUGACGUAAGUCCAAAGAUUUAUCGCCCAAGGAUGAGCCCGCGUAGGAUUAGCUAGUUGGUGGGGUAAAGGCCCACCAAGGCGACGAUCCUUAGCUGGUCUGAGAGGAUGAUCAGCCACACUGGGACUGAGACACGGCCCAGACUCCUACGGGAGGCAGCAGUGGGGAAUAUUGGACAAUGGGCGAAAGCCUGAUCCAGCAAUGCCGCGUGAGUGAUGAAGGCCUUAGGGUUGUAAAGCUCUUUUACCCGGGAUGAUAAUGACAGUACCGGGAGAAUAAGCCCCGGCUAACUCCGUGCCAGCCGCCGCUGUAACAC
rnacentral:rRNA from 1 species